rnacentral:rRNA from 1 species
UACGUAGGGUGCGAGCGUUAAUCGGAAUUACUGGGCGUAAAGUGUGCGCAGGUGGCCGCGCAAGUCGAGUGUGAAAUCCCCGGGCUUAACUUGGGAAUUGCGCUCGAAACUACGUGGCUCGAGUAUGGCAGAGGAAGGUGGAAUUCCACGUGUAGCGGUGAAAUGCGUAGAGAUGUGGAGGAACACCAAUGGCGAAGGCAGCCUCCUGGGCCAACACUGACACUCAUGCACGAAAGCGUGGGGAGCAAACAGG